UUGACGGGGCCCGCACAAGCGGUGGAGCAUUGUGGUUUAAUUCGACGCAACGCGAAAAACCUUACCUGGGUUUGACAUGCCGAGUACCCGAUGGAAACAUUGGGGUGCCCCGUAAGGGGAACUUGGACACAGGUGCUGCAUGGCUGUCGUCAGCUCGUGCCGUGAGGUGUUGGGUUAAGUCCCGCAACGAGCGCAACCCUCACCCUUAGUUGCCAUCAUUAAGUUGGGCACCCUAAGGGAACUGCCGCAGUUAAUGCGGAGGAAGGUGGGGAUGACGUCAAGUCCUCAUGGCCCUUAUAUCCAGGGCUACACACGUGCUACAAUGGGCGGUACAAAGGGUCGCGAACCUGUAAGGGGGAGCUAACCCCAGAAACCCGAUCGUAGUCCGGAUUGUAGUCUGCAACUCGACUACAUGAAGUCGGAAUCGCUAGUAAUCGCGGAUCAGCAUGUCGCGGUGAAUACGUUCCCGGGUCUU
rnacentral:rRNA from 1 species